rnacentral:SRP_RNA from 1 species
GCCGGGGACCUUGUGGAAGAUGAGCUCUCGAACUAGGUCAGGACUGGAAGGUAGCAGCCUUAAGAGUCGCAAUUCUGUCAUAAGACAACCCCCGGCCU